CGGCGAGGAAGCGAGAAGACUUCAUCCAAGUGUGCAGCAUCGACAACGUCCAUUGCAAUUACAAACUAUUUCACCCGUACACGACGAAGGAUAUGGGAGUUUGCUACACGUUCAACAGCCCGCACCUCGUCAAAGAAUCCAGCCCCAACGUCAGCAUCGAAGACCGCAGAAAGAACUUCAAGCCCAGAGCUUCGUUCAAAACCGGACCGCAGAGCGGCCUGAGCCUGACGCUGAACCUGCACGCGGCGAGCUACCUGUCGUUGCUGUCGCCCUGGUCGGGGCUGCGCGUGGUGCUGCAUGAGC